GAACGCAUCCUAAGGAAAGCUGAACCCAGUGGAGCCAGCCCAAAGUGAUGCAGCGCCAUCCGGAUGCCACCUCCAUGAAGCCCGCAGCUAUGGGAAGCACGUGACUCGAGCUUCACUUUCACGGUUGCUCGCGGCUAAGACGUAGCUCUGAGUUUCAGAAGAGACUCUGGAUUUGGAUUUCUGAAUGGCGUUGGGACUGUGACCUCAAGAAGACCUGGAUACCGCGAAAAGACCGUGUUUUACCAGAUUCACUGCACCAUUCGAAAUCUUCUGAGAUCAUAAAUAACUGUCAACAUGAUUUCCAGAGAUCCAAGGAAAAGGCACACUUGGGACGAGGGCUGUGUCCUCUUGUCCCCACCCCCAUGUUCCACCCCACUUUCUUUAGUAACCAGCUUUGAGGACAGCUGGUUUUUCUCCCCACGUUUCCCUCAUUAUGGCUCCCAGCCGAGUCUGCCUCUCAUCCCGCUCCUAGUUCUGAUCAGGAGCCUGGCUCCAGGAUGCUCACUGGAGAAAGAAGACUGAGACCCAUUGGAGACAGAGCUCCUAGGAAACUCACUCCAGCUUCUGCUUCUUCUGCUCCAAGAGAUAUAGUUUUUGCUUCAAAACCUAUGGUUCUUGCCUUGGCCUUCAAGGCCUGCUGCUUCCACUGUAAGCAAGCAAGGGACACCGACUUCAGCCUUCGAGACCUGAGAGACAGGAGGACUUCUCCUCCUGCUGUACUUGUUGGUGAUCUGCUGUCUCCAGAUUGCUUUACCAGGGACUGUUCUAGGUAGACAUCUCGACAUUCUGCAAGACGGUAGAGCUGCAAUGCGUGCUGGCACUCUCUUGGUGGAACCUUGAGAAUGUAUCAGGGCAACUGCUGGCAUCUGGCUGCCGCUGAGGGUCUCCGUUUCUAUCUUCCUGUUUGGGUUUCUAUUUUCUCAUUUGAAUUGUUAUUCCUGAGCGGCAAAUGAAAGCUACC
rnacentral:lncRNA from 1 species